UUAUGUGCUAUUUUCCGUAGUAUUUUUCCAGUAGUACUUCUCCAAAUCAAGCUAGGGACAGUUCAGCUUCAAGUUUUAUUGACAUUUUUUGUGGGCAUGAAAUGCUUUUUUUAAUACCUUACUUUAACUCAUUUUGUGUAUUUCUAUGGGAUUCCUAUUUCUUUUCUGAAGAAAGGAGAAAAAGUCAUUAACUUAGAGAAGUUCAGACUUUUCAGAAGGUCAUGAAUCUGACAAGCCAGAAGCAAUGGAUCCUUCUCCAUCUGCCUUUUAUUUCCAGCACAUUUAUACAACCUUCAAGUCUUUGUUUUUCAAAUCUCAGGGAGAGCUACCCAUCCUGGAGUCAAUUGAUGGUUAUCAGGAAGGUGUUUUCAGCUAUUUUCAAAAUACCUUGCAUCUAUGGAACGUGUGUAUAUUUUUGGGUAAUGGCUACUGGACAUCUCCUUGCUUCCUGGUUAUGCCAGGAGUGCCUUUUUCCCUUCAGUACGAUUCCUUCAAACAUUUUGAUGCUUAGGAAGCUAAAUGAGAGAUGGAUUCCUGGGUCAAAGGCAUAUGAGCGUGUUUCCUCACUGGAGAAGCUGUUCAGGAAGGGCUGCAGGUAAAUGAAUUUCUCUUUCCGAACAAAUGUCAAUUCCAGACUAGCAUUGUGUGUUGAAAUGCUGCCCUGGGGAGAGAAGUGGAAGAAAGGAAUGUUAAAGAGGCUUCUUAGCUAAUGGCCUUAUGUGAGAAAUAGCAUACCAUUUCUCAAUCAAUGUCAUUUCCAAGUCGUGCAAGGAGAUUAUGUAUGGGGAGUGGUUAUCUGGCAAUUCAUACAUCAUUUGUAUCCACAUCUGCCCCCUGGGUUUGGUCAGAUGGAUUUAAUUUUAAAAAUAUCACUUUCACCUGCUCCUCUGCAGUUCGAUUGGCCUCCCACACUGAGGUUUUAUUUGUACUCAUGGAAUUACUGCAUUUGCUUCCUUAAAGCAGGGUAGAGGGGGAUAUUUGAACACAUAUCAUGGGACAUAAGGAAAUCAUAAGAAUUAGAGAUGGAAAGAAAAAUGAAAUUGAUCAUCUACCUGAAAAAAUUGGACUUCCAAUAUACUCUCAUCAAAAGGGGACACAGAAACCUAUCACUUCUAAAGGGCUUCCAGGUCAACUAAAUAUUCUUGAUGUUUAGCUCAUUAAAUAAAUGAAGUAUAACCACUUCAUAUUAAUAAAUAUACAUUUUUGAGUACUUACCUUGUACUAGGCAUGAUGGGCUUAAUCUGUACAUUACCAAAUUUGAUUUAAUCCUUGUAUCAACUCUAUAUGAUUGAUACUAUUAUCCUCAUUUUACAGAUGUGGAAUCUAAGGACCAGGAGAGGUUAAUAAUUU